AAUCAGAAGGCGAACCCGGACCGGUUCUCCCGCCCACCGCCGCGGAGAGGGAAUGCGGGCGAAGCGAUGGGAAAAGCUUUCAGAAACCAGGCGGUUCUGGUGGAUUUAAGUGUUUCACAGCGUUGCUGAGUGUUUGAGCGGAGAAAUGGAGUUUAAUUAAUGCGCUGAUCGGCCUCGACCCGUGCAGCUCGCCCCUCCCCCUUCAUAGCGUCCAUUUUUGAAACUCCCUCUCGGAUCUGAAUGUGCGCACUUCACACUCUGCACCGUUUUUAACCCACACUUCACCCAAAACCCGUGCGGGAAGAUGGACACACGCACGAACACGCAGAAUCCGUCGAAUAAAGGCACCAGAGGGCCGUUUUAUCGUGUAGUUUGGCUGACAGAGAGCGGGACAAAGCGGCACACAGAAAAAAGCGGCCGCCAUUGCUCCUUGUUGCUGUGGGGGAUGGGAGCGGAGCAGCGCGUGCCUACAUUCACAUUCUGCUCUGAUGACGCACUCCGACUCCCAGCAGCCCUCUGAUUGGUCAUUGGAAUGAAAUAAACAAGGCUUUGGCGCAGGUCGGCCGCUGAUUGGCUCUCGCGGCCGUCCGUCAGUUUAAACCUGGAUGUUUUUGGUUGUUUGUAAGCAGCGGCUCCGGAUCCCGGAUCUGGACUCGGUGUGGAGUUUCUCCUCAGUCUGUGGCCAUGUUAUCUUUUCUGAUUACUGCCGAGUAAAAGCGAUUCUUUUUAACUGCGUCUCAUCUAAUAAUCUCAGAGAUAAACAUUAGUUCUGUUGAAUAGUUCGGACAAACAGAACUCUUCUUUUUCCAUGUUGCUGUUGGUGUCAUCAAAUAUUAAUGUGGCUAUCAGAGCGAACAGAUGGAGAAAGUGAUCCCUCAGCAGAACCAAACCUUCUCCCUCUGGCCGUGUUUUACUGAGAAAACCAACAAUUUCAAUCAAACAGUCUCAGUUCACCUUGAAUUCUGCUACUGUCCAUUAAAACCGACUGAAAAUGCAGUAAAAAUAAAAAAUUUUUAACAAUA